AGGGCGAGCACUCGGCUCCCUUCAGUUCAGCACAGAGGAGCAGACCUGCUGCUGAGCUGCCGUGCAGCACGAGCUGGGGGAGCGGGAAAUCAUGACCCACAGGCUUGUCUUCAGAGAGCCUGUUGAGGGUGGCAUGUGAUGGGCACCUGAGCACCCAGAUACAGUUGAGGUGCAUAAAGAGAAGGAGUAUGAUGUGCAAGGCACACACCUGUACUCAGCUGAGUGCCACAAUACACAGAAGCCCGAAAUAGCUGUCGGAAGCCGGUGGCGGCUGCACUGCUGCUCCUAAUAUACACUUCCUUGCACCUGUGUCCUGAGCCCUUUGCCGAGUGACUUGGCUGUGCCCCUGGUGAGAAGAGGUGAACAUUCCCCUUCAUCCCAUUCACCGACCUGCACGUGGCCGUGUGGCCUACUCUGGACUACAGCAGACACUGGGAGAGCCUACAGAUGGGCUUGCAGUUUGCUGGCAUCCUGCACUUUUGUCCUCUGCCAUAAGCAGAACCGAUCCAGGUGGGCACUUGUCCCACAGUGAGGAGACACCUGCAGGGCUCUAACCCAUGUCCAGAGCAGAGCCCGGCCCACCCUUGUGCAAAGCCACCAACAUUAUCACGGCAAGAGUGCAUGCAGCCUCUAACUCCCCCUCCAAAAUCUCUUCCACCCUUUCUGUUUCCUUAUCAUAUCACAGCCCACACCAAAAAUUAUCACUAGCUGGCAUAUAAGAACUAAAACAUAGGUCAUAUUUUCUACGUUUAGUCAAAAAACUUGCCUACGACGUGUAUUGUUUCAAAGGCUGACAGUUUCUCUCCAGUCAUGGUUUUUUGGCAAUAUGAGCAAUGGAUGUCUGGGAUGAAAACUCUGCCAUAUAGAAUGUAGCCUACAGAGCACGUAUUCAGAUUUAUGCCCUCUAAAUGGAUUACUACAUUCUGAAUGGCAUUAACUUUCCAAUGAGUAAGAGCCACUCAUUCACCUCUCUCCUCUAUUCCCAGUCCUUGAAAUAGUUGAUUUCAAAUGUUUUCACCUAAGGUAAAUGAUAAUAUAUGCAAAGAUUUUGUACAAACUCCAGGGGAAUUCCUGAGAUAUCUCACAAAGUUUGAAUCUAUGGAGACAAAGGAAAAUUGUGCAACGAGUGGUGUUUUCUUUCACAUAGUGCAGCAGACAGGAUCACAUGCCUCCAACGUGGGAAGGGGAACACGUCGACCCUAGGCAAGCAGAGGGCCUUAGCAUGCUGACUCUGCAGGCUCAUCCUGGGGCCUGCCUGAGCAGCCGUGUGGGCACCGGGACUGCAGUCCUUUCCCCUGCCUGCCCCAGCCCCACCAUCUCUUGCCUGGAGGUCAUUUGGCCACCCUCUUAGUGUCAAAGGCAGAAGCUAUGAGAAAGAAGGAUAGGAGAGGGAUGCGGACCAGUUUUCAAAUCCGGCAGGAGGAGCAAGGUCCUGGGGAGCAUGUGGUGGAAGGUGAGCAUCCCGACCUAGGAAGGCAUUUCCGAAUGCAGGGAACACAGUCACACCAAAGCGUAUGUCCAUAACCAUCGUGGAAACUAACUAGGCCUUCUGACGAGAAAUACAGAAGGGAGAGCCCAUGCACACUAAACUACCACAAUAUUUGAGCAACAGAGCGAGAAAGAAGCCAGCACCAUAAUUUAAGAAGCUUAAUAUGGUGCUUGACUAUUUGGGGUGAAUAAUUACUCAAUAUUUUAAAAUUUUCUUUGUAUAUUUUAAUUUAUUACCUUUCUUCCAGAAGUCACACUCACCAAAAUCUAUUCUUUUGCAAUUAUACCAAUGAAAUUAGAGAUAUGGCCUCUGACCCUUUCCCACUUUUGAGUCUAGGACUUUAAGGAAACUACAUCAUCAUUACGAAGACUGGGGAGCAACAGCGUCAUGGGCACCGCUCUGCUCUGCAUGAAGGAGUCCGACAGCUGCCAGCGGGGAGCUUUGGUGGUGCCAAAUCCCCUGGAGAGAGGAGGCUGCAGCCCCAGGCAGCAGGGAGCCCUGGAGGAAGCUGCCUCUGCAGACUCGCGGGAAUGCCAGCUCCGGGUUUCAUUCCUUUGUUCACUGCUGCUUCCCAAGUGCCAGACGGAGCCUGGAACUCAGUGGCUGCUCUAAAGAUACUGUUGAAUGAGUAAAUGAACGGAAUUGCACAGGAGCGAGGCCACAGUUCUACAGCUGAGCUGCCUGUCACGGCCCUCACCCAACCACCACUGCUGGAAAUGUGCAGACAGGGUGUGCCUCUCCCGUUUAAGGGAAAUGUAUUGAGAUAUCAUUCACAUACAUGGCACGUGCUCAGGGAGCCCCCCAGGAUGACAGAGCUCACCCAUCACCCCACAGAACGUCUCUGCCCCAUCCAGGCAGGCCCCAGAGUACACUGGGUCUGGCUUCUUUAGUCAGAGGUGGUUUGAGUGAGUCUAGAGACUUCAUAGAAUCUGGGUCACAGAGCAGGCACCCUUUUCCAUCUGGUGUCUUCCACUCAGCGUAGCGGUCCCGAGAUCCAGCGUGUCUCUGCUAGGAUCAGCGGUUUGCUCCUUGGUGUUGCUGAGGAAAAUUCUACUGCAUGGAACACCACCAUCUAUCCACACUGGAUAGACACCAGAUGAGUGCUUCCGCCUGCUGUGAAUGAAGCUCCUAUGAACAGUCUCAUAUUAGGUAUGAAAGGAAAAUAAAUCAAUCACUAAACAAAGGGGAAAGUCAAGCUGGGAGCUGCCUCCCAUCCUAUUCCUAAAUAAGAUAGCUACAAAGAUAAAAACGCUGUUCCUCCCUCACAAUUUGCUCACAAGGAACUUCCUUGUGGAACAAGGACAGACAGAACUCAAUCAUCCCUCCGCUCACAUGAGACAAACACAGAUCGGAAUGCUUCCUCCGCCCUGUUGUUUCACCCAGCCAGACUAAGGCAUACGUAACUAUUCCAGUAAAUUGUGCAUUCGGUGAAAGGCUAAUCAGAAACUUAAAAGAAUGCAGCCAUUUGUCUCUUAUCUACCUACAACCUGGAAGCCCCCUGCGCGCUUUGACUUGUCCUGUCUUUCCAGAUAGAACCAAUGUACAUCAUACAUAUAAUGAUUGAUGUCUCAUGUCUCCCUAAAAUGUAUAAAACCAAGCUGUUCCCCGACCACCAUCACCAGGACCUCCUGAGGCUGUGUCACGGCACGUCCUCAACCUUGGCAAAAUAACUUUCUAAAUUUAUUGAGACUUGUCUCAGAUACUUUUUGGUUUACAAAGGUGUUUGUGGACAUGUAUAUUCAUUUCUCAUAGAUAAGUACCUAGAAGUUGAAUUGCUUAGACAUGAGUAAAUGUAUGUUUAACUUUUUCAGAAACUCCCGAACAUAUUUCCAAACUAUACCGUUUUACACUCUGUCAGCAGAAUUUAAAAGUUUCCACUGAACCACAUCCUUGUCAACGUUUGGUAUUGUCAAUAUGUUUAAGUUAUUGAUAUUGUUCUAGUGAAUGUGUAGAGACAUCUCGUUUUGGUUUUAAUUUGCAUUUUCCUAAUGAGGAAUAAUACUGAGAAAUUUUUUCUUUCAUAUUGUCAUAUAUGUGUCUUCUUUCUUAAAGUGCCUAGUCAAAUAUUUUGCUCAUUUUUUAUUGCUUUUUAUUAUAAACUGUGUUUUUUUAAAUAUUAUCUUAACACACGUCUUUUGGCUGAUAUAAUAUUGUAAAUAUUUUCUCCCAUUCUGUGGUCUACUUAUUGUUUCCUAAUGCUGUCUUUUGAAGAGCAAAAUAUUUUUCUCCAUUUAUGGAGACAAGAUGGUCAACUUAGCUAUUCCAAAAUGUUUUUAAAAUUCUAGUUUGUUUUAAAACAACCACAGCAAACUGCAUGGAUUUGUUCCACAUCUUUGAAAGAAAAACAUUAUUUUAUUUAUUUCACAGUGGAAGAUAAGUCAGUAAGGCCCCACUUCGGCAGGUUUUGUUUUCGUUUCCUCAUGCCUCUGCAAUGCUCGGAGUCACCCACGCCUUACUCACUGCGGCUGGAACGAACCCAGACUCCUCACUCCUCCCACAGCCUCUGGCGCAGGGCGCUCCUUGCUUGAAAGAAACGUUUGCGAUUUUUAGUGGAAACGUCCGUGUUUUCUUGGUAACUGGUAAAUGGCUGUAGAUUACUGACACGCGGUCCUUUGUACGUAACAGAAGGCUUUGAGUGUUUCUGUGAGGAUCACCCUGUGAAGAAACGGCUGCAGUGAGAGCAGCCGAGGCGGGACGCAGCCCCGGACGUGGGGUCAGAGAGGAGCCCUUGCUUUGUUAUCCGGAGGGUAGCCACGGUUUUAGCUCACAGUGAUGUCAACUUGAAGCUUCUCUCCACAAGCAGCUGUGACCUCAGCUGCCGUGCAGUCAGCUUCCCCGGCCUCCCUCCCCAGCCUCCCUGGUCUCCCAGGCACAAGGCUGGGCACUGGCUUCAGAGUGGCUGCAAGGGCACGGCCCCCAGGCCUAGGGCUGAUCAGCGUGAACAGUACCCAGCACACUUGCUUCAAAAAGUAAGAAGAUAUAGAACACAAGCUGCUUGUUCUCAUGACUAUAGCACAAACUAUAAAACAAAACAUCUUCCUCCAGAACACGGCAAGCUGGAUGGACAGUGAUCUGGACAAAAAUUUGCUGUAGGUUUUGUAACUGGGGUUCAGUGAGGACCAGGCUCCCCAGAGCAUACAUGUGGAGACAAUUAAGUUGAUCCCAUUUUCCAAGACUCAGAGGAGAUGUAUUUAUAUUAGGAAUAUAAACUUGCUAUUAAUGCAACUUCAGAAUGUCCAGGUCAUCCGUUGGGAAAAAAAAAAGAGUAAGUCUAGGGCUGGUUCGUGCUGUUGCUACAUGGAGGGAAUCCACAUCCAAGCCUGCCGCUCACAUGCUGGGACACAUUGCCUCAGCCUCCAUCUCUGGGAGUCCCACGCUUUCUCUCCUGGGUUGUCCCACUAUUCCUUUUGAAGUCCUCAUGUUAGUGACAGUUCAAUUUUCUCUUCACCUUCAAAAUUGCAGAGAACCUAAUUUCUACUGACCAGUCAAGCUUGUUUCAUUUAUCUUCCAUGUUAACUUCAAUUAAAAUGUUAACCAUCUGGAAUCUUUGGCCUCUUAUGUGACAAAAAUAGGCAUUAAAUUGUAUCAUUUCUUAAAUUCUCUGUUGAAAAGUCCAAAUACGUUACUGAAUAUGAUACAGAUUAGUAAGAAUUUGGGCUCAUUAAAUGUAAGAUAAUUUCAUAGCUUAAGGUAAUUUCACACCCCAAGGGACUUAUAACCUAAACACAAAGCAGAUCACCAACAUUAACUGUCAGCUGUCCACUGGAGAACUAUCUCAGACAAAAAAAUAAAAUUUGGAUUAGCUCUCCAUGGUGCACAAUACUUUCAUGAACCAUCUCUUUUGGGUUGGCAGCUGCAGUGUGUUCUGAGAGUAUGUUAAUGCUACAAUAACAGUAAAAAUAAAAUUAAGUUGGGAACAUACAGAAAAAAAGAAAUUGAUUACAUUAUUCCUAAUGACGACCUGAAUCAAAGUUGGCACUAAAUAAAUUUUUGUCAGAAAGGAGAAAAGAAAUGAGAGAAAUAAAAGAGAGGAGGCAGGAUUUUAUAUUCUGCUCCCUUUUUGGAAAA
rnacentral:lncRNA from 1 species